UAGGGAGACUGCCAGGGACAACCUGGAGGAAGGUGGGGAUGACGUCAAAUCAUCAUGCCCCUUAUGAUUUGGGCUACACACGUGCUACAAUGGCGUAAACAAAGGGAAGCGACCCUGCGAAGGUGAGCAAAUCUCAAAAAUAACGUCCCAGUUCGGACUGUAGUCUGCAACCCGACUACACGAAGCUGGAAUCGCUAGUAAUCGCGAAUCAGAAUGUCGCGGUGAAUACGUUCCCGGGUCUUGUACACACCGCCCGUCACACCAUGGGAGUCAGCAACGCCCGAAGUCAGUGACCCAACCGAAAGGAGGGAGCUGCCGAAGGCGGGGCAGGUAACUGGGGUGAAGUCGUAACAAGGUAGCCGUAUCGGAAGGUGCGGCUGGAUCACCUCCUUUCUAAGGAA
rnacentral:rRNA from 2 species